UACGUAGGGGGCAAGCGUUGUCCGGAUUCAUUGGGCGUAAAGAGCGUGUAGGCGGCCAGGUAGGUCGGUUGUGAAAACUGGAGGCUCAACCUUCAGAGGUCGACCGAAACCAUCUGGCUAGAGUCCGGGAGAGGAGAGUGGAAUUCCUGGUGUAGCGGUGAAAUGCGCAGAUAUCAGGAAGAACACCCGUGGCGAAAGCGGCUCUCUGGAACGGUACUGACGCUGAGACGCGAAAAGCGUGGGGAGCGAACAGG
rnacentral:rRNA from 1 species